rnacentral:tRNA from 1 species
ACGGCUCAGUGGAAGAGCCUCUGCUUGGCAUGCAGAAGGGUCCAGGUUCAAUCCCCAACAUCUCUG